rnacentral:rRNA from 1 species
AGCAGCCGCGGUAAUUCCAGCUCCAAUAGCGUAUAUUAAAGUUGCUGCAGUUAAAAAGCUCGUAGUUGAAUUUCGGGACUAAUAUGUCGGUCGUGCCUCGGUACGUACUGGUUUAUUGGUUUCUCCUUUCUGAAGAACCAUGGUGUCAUUUAUUUGGUGUCGUGGGGAAUCAGGACUGUUACUUUGAAAAAUUAGAGUGUUUAAAGCAGGCUCACGCUUGAAUACAUUAGCAUGGAAUAAUGAAAUAGGACGUUUGAUUCUAUUUUGUUGGUUUCUAGGAUCGACGUAAUGAUUAAUAGGGAUAGUUGGGGGCAUUAGUAUUCAAUUGUCAGAGGUGAAAUUCUUGGAUUUAUUGAAGACUAACUACUGCGAAAGCAUUUGCCAAGGAUGUUUUCAUUAAUCAAGAACGAAAGUUAGGGGAUCGAAGACGAUCAGAUACCGUCGUAGUCUUAACCAUAAACUAUGCCGACUAGGGAUCGGAUGAUGUUAAUUUUUAAUGACUCAUUCGGCGCCUUACGGG